rnacentral:rRNA from 1 species
AUACAUGCAGUCGAGCGGACAGAAGGGAGCUUGCUCCCGGAUGUUAGCGGCGGACGGGUGAGUAACACGUGGGUAACCUGCCUGUAAGACUGGGAUAACUCCGGGAAACCGGAGCUAAUACCGGAUAGUUCCUUGAACCGCAUGGUUCAAGGAUGAAAGACGGUUUCGGCUGUCACUUGCAGAUGGACCCGCGGCGCAUUAGCUAGUUGGUGAGGUAACGGCUCACCAAGGCGACGAUGCGUAGCCGACCUGAGAGGGUGAUCGGCCACACUGGGACUGAGACACGGCCCAGACUCCUACGGGAGGCAGCAGUAGGGAAUCUUCCGCAAUGGACGAAAGUCUGACGGAGCAACGCCGCGUGAGUGAUGAAGGUUUUCGGAUCGUAAAGCUCUGUUGUUAGGGAAGAACAAGUGCAAGAGUAACUGCUUGCACCUUGACGGUACCUAACCAGAAAGCCACGGCUAACUACGUGCCAGCAGCCGCGGUAAUACGUAGGUGGCAAGCGUUGUCCGGAAUUAUUGGGCGUAAAGGGCUCGCAGGCGGUUUCUUAAGUCUGAUGUGAAAGCCCCCGGCUCAACCGGGGAGGGUCAUUGGAAACUGGGAAACUUGAGUGCAGAAGAGGAGAGU